rnacentral:rRNA from 1 species
GCAUAUCAAUAAGCGGAGGAAAAGAAACCAACAGGGAUUGCCUCAGUAACGGCGAGUGAAGCGGCAACAGCUCAAAUUUGAAAUCUGGCCUCUGGCCCGAGUUGUAAUUUGCAGAGGAUGUUUCUGGCGAGGUGCCUUCCGAGUUCCCUGGAACGGGACGCCAUAGAGGGUGAGAGCCCCGUACGGUUGGUCGCUAAGCCUCUGUGAAACUCCUUCGACGAGUCGAGUAGUUUGGGAAUGCUGCUCUAAAUGGGAGGUGUACGCCUUCUUAAGCUAAAUACCGGCUAGAGACCGAUAGCGCACAAGUAGAGUGAUCGAAAGAUGAAAAGCACUUUGAAAAGAGGGUUAAAAAGUACGUGAAAUUGUUGAAAGGGAAGCGCUCUUGACCAGACUUGCGCCGGUUGAUCAUCCGCCGUUCUCGGUGGUGCACUCUGCCGGCUCAGGCCAGCAUCAGUUCGGCCCGGGGGAUAAAGGCUUCGGGAAUGUGGCUCUCUCCGGGGAGUGUUAUAGCCCGUUGCGUAAUACCCUGGGCUGGACUGAGGUUCGCGCAUCUGCAUGGAUGCUGGCGUAAUGGUUAUCAGUGACCCGUCUUGAAACACGGACC